AGUGAACGCUGGCGGUAGGCCUAACACAUGCAAGUCGAACGGCAGCACAGUAAGAGCUUGCUCUUACGGGUGGCGAGUGGCGGACGGGUGAGGAAUACAUCGGAAUCUACUUUUUCCUGGGGGAUAACGUAGGGAAACUUACGCUAAUACCGCAUACGACCUACGGGUGAAAGCAGGGGAUCUUCGGACCUUGCGCGAUUGAAUGAGCCGAUGUCGGAUUAGCUAGUUGGCGGGGUAAAGGCCCACCAAGGCGACGAUCCGUAGCUGGUCUGAGAGGAUGAUCAGCCACACUGGAACUGAGACACGGUCCAGACUCCUACGGGAGGCAGCAGUGGGGAAUAUUGGACAAUGGGCGCAAGCCUGAUCCAGCCAUACCGCGUGGGUGAAGAAGGCCUUCGGGUUGUAAAGCCCUUUUGUUGGGAAAGAAAAGCAGCAGGUUAAUACCCCGCUGUCCUGACGGUACCCAAAGAAUAAGCACCGGCUAACUUCGUG
rnacentral:rRNA from 1 species